UACGGAGGGUGCGAGCGUUGUCCGGAAUUACUGGGCGUAAAGGGCUCGUAGGCGGCCAACUAAGUCGGAUGUGAAAUCCCCAGGCUUAACCUGGGAAUUGCAUCCGAUACUGGAUGGCUUGAAUCCGGGAGAGGGAUGCGGAAUUCCAGGUGUAGCGGUGAAAUGCGUAGAUAUCUGGAGGAACACCGGUGGCGAAGGCGGCAUCCUGGACCGGCAUUGACGCUGAGGAGCGAAAGCCAGGGGAGCAAACGGG
rnacentral:rRNA from 1 species